CAGAUGCACUCAUAAGUGGUUGUGAUUCUCCGACAGGAUUUGCAUUUGACAUAGCAACAGCUUACGUAUUUGCAUUGACAUCUUUCAACAGUAUCUCGAGAUUUUUUCAUGUGGCCUCUACCACAGCAAAGUGAAGGAAAAUGAAUGAACACCCGGAAAGUAGAUUUGAAUUUUUUCAUUUCGUGAGAAUUAUAAUAAUAUGACUUUCCGUUAUGGUCACCAUUCAAUGUAAUAAGAGGGAUAAUAACGAAAACCUGAAAUGUAAACCAUUAACAGAAACAUAUAUAUUUACUUUAUGAGACAAAUUCAAAAAGGGAAAGAAGAAAUCUCGUUUUAUUCUCUUCAAUUUUCUUAUUCCGCUUAUGACACAUGUUCCAACUACACUUCGAAGCCUGUUAUUGGAAUUGAAAAAAAAAAAAAAUUAAAAACAAAAGAAAAUCUCGAUCUCACCUGCCUGAUGUGCCAAGACUUCCUCUCUUUCUAUCAGG